rnacentral:lncRNA from 1 species
AGAAAGCAGAUAAUGUCACCUUCCUGUUCAAGUCUAGUGACUUCCACAACAUGAAAAAAUAAAAUCUCAAGGCCAACUAAAUCCUGCAUUCCCUGGUCACUGGCUAUAUCUCUAACUUCAUUUGUAACCCUUGUUCACCCUGGCCAUAUCUGCAUUCUAGGUAUUCUCUGUCAUAGCCACCCUCCCACCUUGAGGCCUUCCUACGUCCUGUCUCCCAGAUAGUUACACAGUUCUCACACAAAAGAAUGCAAUCCCUCAGGCUGCCCAAAACAUCUCUCCUGAACCAACAUCACUAAUGAAAGCAACCUGUCCUCCUGCCCCUCAGGAUGUUACCUCCAUGUCACGUGUUCCAACUUCUGCUUGAAGGGGAGGCCUUAGGGAGAACCAUAAGAACUGAAAUCAGCUUUCCACCCUCACCACCAUCAUCUCAUUCUUCAACAAAUAUAGGGCCACACUGUUCCAGGAUCUGUUUGUUCUCAGCACUAGAGGUACAGAAAAGUAAAACUGUACACAUGCUCUGUGCAUGGUCACCAUCUAUAGCAUUCCCUAAACAUCAAGGCACAUAUGCUUUGUCUUGGCUUGGGAGCAACCUGGAUGAUCUAGUCAUCACUUCUCUGAUCACCAGUCACUACUUUAAAAUAUAGGUUCCAUGAUUAUUUAGGUGUGGCAAGGCCAACAGAUCAGGAAAUGACUGCCAUGGAAAAGAGGAUUAUACUCACAGAUUCCAAGAGAAGGCGGCAUGCCAGAAUCUGGAACCGGAUCCUCUAAUGAUGUCAUAAGACCUGAGCUGUAUUCACCUAGGAAUCAUGUUGUAAAAUACUCAAGAAAGCACAGGCCAAUCCCUGAAUGCAUGGCCCCUCUAGGGAAUCAUGACCCAGGAUCCCAAACCACUGGGAGAAAUCUUCACUCUGCUGACUCUGGCAUGCAGCACAAAUGAACCAUCACCUGCUUCAGACACUAAACAUGCAAUGACAACUCAUCCCCCACCCUUUGUAAUCUGCAAUCAUUUAUCCCAGGCUGACUGGUUCUCAACAUCUCUGGCUGGAAUGCAGUGGAAUGAUUAUAGAUCAAUGCAGC